GAUCUCUUGUUGAAAGAUUUAUUGCAUACGGAUCGGCUCGCGUGCCAUUAGGUAGACGGCGGGGUAACGGCCCACCGUGCCGACGAUGGCUAGGGGUUCUGAGAGGAAGGUCCCCCACAUUGGAACUGAGACACGGUCCAGACUCCUACGGGAGGCAGCAGUGAGGAAUAUUGGACAAUGGCCGGAAGGCUGAUCCAGCCAUGCCGCGUGCGGGAGGACGGCCCUAUGGGUUGUAAACCGCUUUUGCGAGGGAGCAAUAAGGUCCACGUGUGGGCCGAUGAGAGUACCUCGCGAAUAAGCAUCGGCUAACUCCGUGCCAGCAGCCGCGGUAAUACGGAGGAUGCAAGCGUUAUCCGGAUUUAUUGGGUUUAAAGGGUGCGUAGGCGGUUUGCUAAGCGGGAGGUGAAAUGCCGGCGCUCAACGUCGGAAGUGCCUCCCGAACUGGUGGACUGGAAUGACUCUGCCGUGGGAGGAAUGUGUAGUGUAGCGGUGAAAUGCUUAGAGAUUACACAGAACACCGAUUGCGAAGGCAUCUCACGAAGGGUUGAUUGACGCUGAGGCACGAAAGCGUGGGGAUCAA
rnacentral:rRNA from 1 species